rnacentral:rRNA from 1 species
UGGGUAAUAUUGCGCAAUGGGCGAAAGCCUGACGCAGCGACGCCGCGUGAGGGAUGACGGCCUUCGGGUUGUAAACCUCUUUCAGCAGGGACGAAGCGCAAGUGACAGUACCUGCAGAAGAAGCACCGGCUAACUACGUGCCAGCAGCCGCGGUAAUACGUAGGGUGCGAGCGUUGUCCGGAAUUAUUGGGCGUAAAGAGCUCGUAGGCGGUUUGUCGCGUCGACUGUGAAAACCUACAGCUUAACUGUGGGCUUGCAGUCGAUACGGGCAGACUUGAGUUCGGUAGGGGAGACUGGAAUUCCUGGUGUAGCGGUGAAAUGCGCAGAUAUCAGGAGGAACACCGGUGGCGAAGGCGGGUCUCUGGGCCGAUACUGACGCUGAGGAGCGAAAGCGUGGGGAGCGAAC